rnacentral:rRNA from 1 species
CCUACGGGAGGCAGCAGUAGGGAAUUUUCGUCAAUGGGCGCAAGCCUGAACGAGCAAUGCCGCGUGAACGAGGAAGGUCUUCGGAUCGUAAAGUUCUGUUGAAGGGGAAAAAGAGCGGAGCGAGGAAAUGGUCUCCGAUUGAUAUUACCCUUCGAGGACGUCACGGCUAACUACGUGCCAGCAGCCGCGGUAAUACGUAGGUGGCGAGCGUUAUCCGGAAUGAUUGGGCGUAAAGGGUGCGUAGGCGGCCUGCUAAGUCUGGAGUGAAAGGUACCGGCUCAACCGGUACAGGCUCUGGAAACUGGCGGGCUAGAGAGCAGGAGAGGGCGGUGGAACUCCAUGUGUAGCGGUAAAAUGCGUAGAUAUAUGGAAGAACACCAGUGGCGAAGGCGGCCGCCUGGCCUGUGACUGAUGCUGAGGCACGAAAGCGUGGGGAGCAAAUAGGAUUAGAUACCCCAGUAGUC